AAUCAACUGAAUGGAACUAUACCAGAAAGCUUGGGACAGCUGUCUCAGCUAGUUGUUUUGGACCUUUGGUACAACCAUUUGGAGGGUGUAAUGUCUGAGGCGCAUUUUGGAAACCUCACAGAAUUGAAAUACUUAACUUUGUCGUCCAACUCCUUGGCUCUGAAGGUCAAGAGCAAUUGGCUUCCUCCCUUCCGGCUAGAAUCCCUUUGGAUGGGCUCCUGCAAACUGGGUCCCGAGUUCCCUGCAUGGCUCCAGUCGCAAAUAAAUAUUUCAGAAAUUGUUAUGUCUAAUGCUAGUAUUAUUGAUGCUAUGCCAAACUGGUUUUGGAGCUUAAUUUCCACGGCAGUGUACGUGAGUGUCUCCGGCAAUCAGAUCAGUGGCCACGUACCCAAUUUGUUGCAUUUAAACAACCUCUACGGGUUGGAUUUAAGUUCAAACUACUUCGAGGGUCCUCUUCCAUAUUUUCCUCCUGGAUUGUCUUUAUUAGAUCUGUCAAACAAUUCAUUUUCAGGAACAAUUUCACUUGCCAUCAUCAUGAAUAUGCCUAACCUCGUAUAUUUAUCGCUUUCGGAAAACAAUUUAAGCGGUGAAAUUCCCUUCUCUAUAUGCCAACUGCAGGUCUUGUGGAUUCUUGAUCUUUCAAAAAAUAUGUUGUCAGGAGAGCUCCCCAAUUGCUGGAAUAAUUCUUCCCCAAUUGAAGUUAUGGAUUUUUCAAGAAACAACAUAUCUGGAGUUAUUCCUGAGUCGAUAUGUUCCUUAGUAUCGCUUCAGUCGUUGCACUUGAGCAAUAACAGUCUAUCUGGAGAGCUGCCUUUGUCCUUGAAGGAUUGUGGGAAAUUAAUCCUUCUUGAUGCCGGACAUAAUGAUUUGAAAGGUGAAAUUCAAACCUGGAUAGGUGAAAGUUUAACUAGUCUGCGGUUCCUCAAUCUGCGAUCAAAUAUGUUGGCCGGAGAUGUUCCUCCAAAUCUUUCAAGAUUGAGUGCUCUCCAAUUUCUCGACCUUGCAGAUAAUGAGCUAUCGGGAACUAUUCCAAGGAGCUUUGGAAAUUUUACUGCCAUGAAAGUAAUUGAAAAUUUUUCGAGUUGGAGGACAGGUCAAAUUAGAUAUAAGGAGCAGAUGUUUAUAACAACUAAAGGAAACACUCGAGCGUAUGAUGUGUCGCUUUCGCUUAUCAAUAUCUUGGACCUCUCGGACAAUAACUUAUUUGGAGGAGUACCUGAAGAACUCACAAGUCUUUUUGGCUUAUUCAGCUUAAAUUUAUCUGGAAACCAUUUCACAGGAGAAAUCAUUGAAAAUAUCAGUAAAUUACAACAGUUGGAGUCCCUUGACUUGUCAAGGAACAACUUUUCUGGCACAAUUCCUUCGAGCCUCGCUGCCCUGACUUCUUUGGCUCACUUGAACCUCUCAUACAACAACUUGUCAGGGGAAAUUCCUCUUGGUAAUCAACUUCUGACCUUCAAUGAUCCAUCUAUCUAUAUUGGCAAUCCUGGUCUUUGUGGGUUUCCUCUGAAUCAAAGUUGCAAAGACAAUGAGACAGCACAAGGUCGAAGUAAUGCAGAUGACAGAGAUGACAACGAGAUGAUAUGGUUCUACAUGAGCAUGGCACCAGGAUUUGUUGUUGGUUUCUGGGCAGUCUGGGGUACAUUGAUACUAAACAAGAAUUGGAACCUUUACUACUUCAGAUUUAUAGACAAUAUACUUGACAAAGUGUAUGUGUUCACCGUACUGAAAGUUUCUAGGAUCAGAAAACGUUGUUGUUUCCAACAAGGAUGAUAAAUUUGAACAUCAAUAUAUGCUGUAUGAGAGUUCAUCUCGUUAAUAUCAUAUCAUCAGCUUGAAUAAAAUUUAAUACUUCUGGACUUGUAUACAAGUAAGUCAUGCACUCUCAAUUUUGAUCAUUUCUGUCAAGUUCGCAGUACCAUAUGAAGUGUUCUAAUUCUGGGGACUGCCAAAAAGCUUGCACCUUUUAAUUAGUUUUUCCAAAAUAGACACCCCUUUUUUAGUUGUUCAGUUUGGCAGAAAUGAAAGGAGGUUAAAACUUUUACGAAGAUAUAGAUAGAAUUUCUGCAGCUGCGACAGAUGGAGCUGUUUAAUAUGAUCUACUCAUGUAAUGAUCCUCUUGUGUUUGAGAUGCUUGUCUUCAUCAAUCAAAUACAUAUUGGAUGCAUCAUAAGCUCAAGUCCACCAAAUGUGCAGCUGCUUGAUCAUCUUGGAUCUCAUGCUCAGAUCUUUUCACUUGAUGAGUCUCCCAUUAAUGGGGGACAUGCUGCUGCAGAUGAUGGAAUUGGGCCGAAGAGGCUUUCACACGCAUGUCAAUGUGACAAGGAUGAUCUGUGCAUGCAGGAAUAAUCCAUUUAUGAUAUACAGAGUGUGGCCCCUCUCUGAGCCGCUCACAUUGAAUUUUGCCAUGGAUUCUGUGUUAUGACUCGGGAUGUAGACGAGCUUCAUUUGAUUACCUGUUGCCAUUAGCACUCAAACGUAAGCAAAGUUCAUAGGAAUGUAAUUCUUGGUUCAAACUGUUUUGUAGACGCAAAACAAAGAAGAGGUGUUACAUCAACAUUUUCUUAUGGAUCUAAUUAUCACCCUCCAUAAAUAAGAGUGAUUAAGAUCAGGAGUGAAUCGAGAUUAAUAAUUUUUCUAGUAUCCAAUAAAUAAAAAAUUAUGUAUUUUUAUUUAAUUAUAGACAUUAUCUUGUACAAAACUCGAGAAUUGAUUUUAAAUAAUUGUUAUUAUUUUUGUAAAUAAAAAGAUCUAUUGCUCAAAAGAUAAUGUGUUAUUUAUAGAAAUGUAAGUUUGACUAGAAAUCCCACCACGAGAGAUUUCUUGAAAUAUAUUAAAAAUUAAUUAUUUUGAUCAUCUUGGCUAAACAAAAAAAUGUUGGUAAAAGGAAAACUUAGGUACUAAGAUAUCAAGUUGGUAUCAUCAGCAAGAAUUGUAUAAAUUAGAGAGUCCAAUUGAUAUAGAUGAGAAGGUAUGACAUGAGAAGAUUAUUAAUAUGGUUUAAUUGUUAAUAAUUCAUAAAUACUAGGUCGUAUUUAAUAUUAUUUCUUAAUUUAUAAAUGUCAUCGGCUCAUGUUAAUCUUUUCUGUAUCGUUCUAAUUUUAUUGGAUGUUUCUAGGUUAUGCUGGGCUUUGACGAAGAUAUCAAGUGAAAAAGUUUAUAAUAUCUUGAUUUAUAGAGUAGACAUAAUUAAGAUUGAUUUAUAAAGAUAUGAUGGACUUACUAUUAUUAAUUUUAACUUAAACACUUUAAUCAAUGGUUUAAGUUUUAAUAGCUCAUUAGUUUGUUAAGAGUAUCGACACAAUGACAGGGAGAUACAUGAUUAAGCUAGUCUCACACAAUGAUAGAGUGAUGCAUGGUUAAUCCCUUUAUGCAAGAUUUACUUUUUUAACAUGAGAUGAUCAUUGUUUUCUUUGUUUUUCAUGAGUAAAGUUAGCAUGUUCUCGAAGAUAAAAGAAAAAAAAAUUGACACGACAAGAGAGGAAUGGUAGCAACAGAUUCUGAACACAAACUAAGAUUCAAAGAUGAUGCAACCUUGCUGUUGCAAAAGUAGAUGAGUAACUUGGCUCUGAUAGCUGGAAUUGAAGGUCUUCCUUCCUCUUGUUCUGCUCAGUUGCAUUAUCAUGUCAAUUUCCAGGAGAGUUUCCCAGCGACUGCUGAUCGCUGUCUUCUUGGUGACCACAAAUCUUGUCUUUCUUUUAUUCGUGUUAAUAAUGGUUGUCUGAUAGCUACAAAUUUCUCCUAUUUAGCAGUUCUUAGGAAAUUCUCAAAACCUUCACAUUCAAGAAGAUGCUGGAGUCUUUAGAUGAAAGCUAUUCCAACUUUGGGACUCGUCAAAAUCAGAAGUCAUAGUUGACUGACUUGAGGAUAGACAACAAUAUGAAAUGAAGAACAAGUGCAUGAUAUUGGCAGACAGCCUAAUUGUUGAAGGUUUCUUGGUCUACUCUUUGAAUCCGUCAGUUGAGUAGUUUCAGACUAACGGAGGAUGAUCCAAACAGGGCAUGAUAAUAAUAUUUUGUGUAUUGCAAGCUGUCCACCGCAGAUUUCUCAUGAUUAAUCUUAAGAUAAGCUGCGUAUUUUUAUUAUCUGUAAUCUAAGAUAAUUGUGUUGGUGUGAGAUGAUCCACUUUGAUCAAGUACACAAUUUCCCUCCCAAUCGAUGGAAUCAUGGUUGUGGUAAUAAUUGUUUUCAGGUGUAUGCAAAAAGGCAAAUCUACCUGUUCUGUGAAAUUUCUUGCCAGUUUCUAUGCACUACCGGUGCCAGAAAUAUGAAAAUCUAAUUAAAUACCUUGACGAAUUAAGCUGCCAUUAUGGUUGUUUUUCUAGUUUCUUGGACUCGUUUUAGACAUUACAAGUGUAUGACACUGGAUUUGCUCAGUAGAACAUCAUGGACGACCUUCUAUCAUUGUCAACCUAGAACAUCGNNNNNNNNNNNNNNNNNNNNNNNNNNNNNNNNNNNNNNNNNNNNNNNNNNNNNNNNNNNNNNNNNNNNNNNNNNNNNNNNNNNNNNNNNNNNNNNNNNNNNNNNNNNNNNNNNNNNNNNNNNNNNNNNNNNNNNNNNNNNNNNNNNNNNNNNNNNNNNNNNNNNNNNNNNNNNNNNNNNNNNNGUGCAGCAAUCAUACUGGGCAUGUCGUCAAGCUGGACCUCCAGAAUCCGCAUCCUUUCUCGGAUUUUGGUGACGAGCCAUACAACAACUGGACCUUAGGAGGUGAGUUGAGGCCUUCUUUACUUGGUCUGAAACACCUGAAGUACCUGGACCUAAGCAUGAACGAUUUUGGAGGCAUUAAUAUUCCAGAAUUCAUGGGGUCAUUCCAUCAACUCCAAUAUCUUAACCUCUCCAGAGCUGGAUUGGGUGGACUCCUGCCUCACCAGCUGGGAAAUCUCUCCAAUCUGCAGUAUCUAGACUUAUCCAAUGACUUGGAUCCCAAUUUUGUGGUUCCGGUCCGUGAAUUUAGCAUUGGUGAUGCACUCUGGAUUUCUCACCUUUCUUCUCUAAAGCAUCUCAACCUGAAGAGUGUUAACUUUCAAAAUGGUACGCACUGGCUGGAAGCUCUGAACAUGCUUCCUUCUAUUCUGGAGAUAUACUUAUCUCUCUGCGAAAUUGGAAGUGUUCCCCACUCUCUUCCGCAUGUGAACUUUACAUCACUGUCUGUUCUUGAUUUGUCCUAUAAUUUCAUUAGCUCUACGAUACCCUCUUGGUUAUUCAACAUAAGUGGCCUUGAGCAUCUUGAUCUUAGUUCGAACAACCUUCAGGGUAAUAUUCCACCGACCUUUGGUAACUUGGCUUCCCUCGAGGAACUUAAUUUAGCUAACAAUCCUCUUCAAGGAGGAAUACCAACUUCCUUCAAAAAUCUGUGCAAGUUGCAGAAUUUAAUAUUGGCAGGCAUCAAUAUCAGCAAAGAUUUGUUAGGCCUUGAUGAAAGUUUUUCUGGUUGCGUCAAGAUGAGCCUAGAGGUUCUAGGCUUAUCCGGCACGAAUAUUAGUGGGCAGUUGCCUGAAUGGUUAUUCCAAUUCAGGAAGCUUAAAUCACUCCAGUUGAAGCAGAAUCUGAUUUCUGGGCCUAUUCCUGUAUCAAUUGGACAACUAGCAUCACUCCAAGAGCUCUUUCUUGGUCAAAAUCAAUUGAACGAAACAAUACCAGAAAGCGUGGGGUGGCUGUCUCAGCUUGUUUCUUUGGACCUUGAGCACAACAAUUUGGAGGGUGUAAUGUCUGAGGCGCAUUUUGGAAACCUCACAGAAUUGAAAGACUUGUAUUUGUCGUCCAACCCCUUGGCUCUAAAGGUCAAGAGCAAUUGGCUUCCUCCCUUCCAGCUUGAAUCCCUUCGGAUGGACUCUUGCAAACAGGGUCCUGAGUUCCCUGCAUGGCUCCAGUCGCAAAAAAAUAUUUCAGAAAUUGUUAUGUCUAAUGCUAGUAUUAUUGAUGCUAUGCCAGACUGGUUUUGGAGCUUAAUUUCCACAGCAGAGUACGUGAGUUUCUCCGGCAAUCAGAUCAGUGGCCACGUACCAAAUUUAUUGCAUUUAAACAACCUCAUCGAGUUGGAUUUAAGUUCAAACUACUUGGAGGGUCCUCUUCCAUAUUUUCCUCCUAGAUUGGAAGCAUUAGAUCUAUCAAACAAUUCAUUUUCAGGAACAAUUUCACUUGCCAUCAUCAUGAAUAUGCUAAACCUCAUGUAUUUAUCAUUUUCAGAAAACAAUUUAAGUGGUGAAAUUCCCUUCUCUAUAUGCAAACUGUCGGUCUUACAGUUUCUUGAUCUUUCAAAAAAUAUGUUAUCAGGAGAGCUCCCCAGUUGCUGGAAUGAUUCUUCCCCAAUUGAAUUUAUAGAUUUUUCAAGCAACAACAUAUCUGGAGUUAUUCCUGAGUCAAUAUGUUCCAUAGCAUCGCUUCAGUCGUUGCACUUGAGCAAUAACAGUCUAUCUGGAGAGCUGCCUUUGCCCUUGAAGGACUGUGGGAAAUUAUACCUUCUUGAUGCCGGAUAUAAUAAUUUGAAAGGUGAAAUUCCAACCUGGAUAGGUGAAAGUUUAACUAGUCUGAGGUUCCUCAAUCUGCGAUCAAAUAUGUUGGUCGGAGAUAUUCCUCCAAAUCUUUCAAGAUUGAGUGCUCUCCAAUUUCUCGACCUUGCGGGUAAUGAGCUAUCGGGUACUAUUCCAAGGAGCUUUGGAAAUUUUACUGCCAUGAAAGUAAUUGAAAAUUUUUCAAGUUCGACGACAGAUCAAAUUAGAUAUAAGGAGCAUAUGUUUAUUACAACUAAAGGAGACACUCAAGACUAUGGGAAGUCACUUUCGCUUAUGAAUAUUUUGGACCUCUCGGAUAAUAACUUAUUCGGAGGAGUACCUAAAGAAGUCACAAGUCUUUUUGGCUUAUUCAGCUUAAAUUUAUCUGGAAACCAUUUCACAGGAGAAAUCACUGAAAGUAUCAGUAAAUUACAACAAUUGGAGUCCCUUGACUUGUCAAGAAACAACUUUUCUGGCACAAUUCCUUCUAGCCUCGCUGCCUUGACUUAUUUGGCUCACUUGAACCUGUCAUACAACAACUUGUCAGGGGAAAUUCCUCUUGGUAAUCAACUUCUGACUUUCAAUGAUCCAUCGAUCUAUAUUGGCAAUCCUGAUCUUUGUGGGUUUCCUCUGAAUCAAAGUUGCAAAGAUAGUGAGACAGCACAAAGUCAAAGUAAUACAGAUGAUAGAGAUGAGAAUGAGAUGAUAUGGUUCUACACGAGCAUGGCACCAGGAUUUGUUGUUGGUUUCUGGGCAGUCUGGGGUACCUUAAUACUUAACAAGAAUUGGAACCUUUACUAUUUCCGAUUUAUAGACAACAUGCUUGACAAAGUAUAUGUGUUUAUCGUACUGAAAGUUUCUAGGAUCAGAAAACGUUGUUGUUCCCAACAAGGAUGAUAAAUUUGAACAUCAAUAUCUGCUGUAUGAGAGUUCAUCUCGUUAAUAUCAUAUCAUCAGCUUGAAUAAAUUUUAAUACUUCUGGACUUCUAUACAAGUAAGUCAUGCACUCUCAAUUUUGAUCAUUUCUGUCUAGAUAGCAGUACCAUAUGAAGUGUUCUAAUCUUGGGGGAUUGCCAGAAAGCUUGCACCUUUUAAUUAGUUUUUCCAAAAUAGACACCCCUUUUUUAGUUGUUCAGUUUGGCAGAAAUGAAAGGAGGUUAAAACUUUUACGAAGAUAUACAUAGAAUUUAUGGUUUUAUUUUCCUUCUUUCUUUUUCAUCCUCUAUUUUCCCAAGUUCAUAGUAUCUACUUUCAUCAAAUGCAUUUGCAUGUCUUGUUCUACCCAAGCAUUACACGCUCAAAACUUAUUCGAUUGCGAUCACAAGUUCGGCUGCAAAAGAUUUGACCACCUUAUUCGAUUAGUUUAACUCUUAUUGAACUUAUGCACAGGUGUUUCUACCAUACGCUACUCUUGUUUAUGUAAAUCCAGUGUCAGUAUAUCUAGAAUCAGAUUUCAUUUUACAUUACUAAAUUUUUCUAGAGAUCAAGGUUUAAAUGAUCAUUAACCCUCCCUAGAGUCCACAUUGGUGAGAGCCUCUCAAGCAAAGGUACGUCUUCUUCUAAAUCUCUUCAAAUAUUAAAUUUAUCUCACAUAAAAGAGAUUUUAUAUAUUAAUGCAGUCUGAAUUUUGAUAUAGAAUAACUUGUCAUCACUGUCAAGAUAACGCGAAUUCUGCCCUACAAAGACAGCCUGAGUUAGAGCAGGAGUAGCUUGGAUCUGAAUUGCAUGUACACUGGAAUUGCUUGUGAUGGUUUCGUAUGUGCUCUCUAACCUUCAAAGUUAUGGUGCUCUCAAAGAGCAAAUAAGGUUCAUACACAAGAGACUUGUUGUAUUUGAGAUGUUACUUGUGCUUCAUGCUUUGAGUCUUACUGUAAGUUUGUAUCCUCCAAACUGUACACUGCUAGAACUAUCCGACCGAAGAAGCCAUGGAUGCAUCUGCAGUUGCAACAGAUGGAGCUGUUUAAUAUGAUCUACUCAUGUAAUGAUCCUCUUGUGUUUGAGAUGCUUGUCUUCAUCAAUCAAAUACAAAUUGGUUGCAUCAUAAGCUCAAGUCCACCAAAUGUGCAGCUGCAUGAUCUUCUUGGAUCUCAUGCUCAGAUCUUUUCAGUUGAUGAGUCUCCCAUUAAUGGGGGACAUGCUGGUGCAGCUCAUGGAAUUGGGCCGAAGAGGCUUUCGCAUGCAGGAAUAAUCCAUUUAUGAUCAACAGAGUGUGGCCCCUCUCCGAGCCGCUCACAUUGAAGUUUGCCAUGGAUUCUGUGUCAUGACUCGGGAUGUAUACGAGCUUCAUUUGAUUACCUGUUGCCAUUAGCACUCAAAUGUAAGCAAAGUUCAUAAGAAUGUAAUUCUUGGUUCAAACUGUUUUGUGGACGCAAAACAAAGAAGAGGUGUUACAUCAACAUUUUCUUAUGGAUCUAAUUAUCACCCUCCAUAAAUAAGAGUGAUUAAGAUCAGGAGUGAAUCGAGAUUAAUAAUUUUUCUAGUAUCCAAUAAAUACAAAAUUAUGUAUUUUGAUUUAAUUAUAGACAUUAUCUUGUACAAAACUCGAGAAUUGAUUUUAAAUAAUUGUUAUUAUUUUUAUAAAUAAAAAUAUCUAUUGCUCAAAGAUAAUGUGUUAUUUAUAGAAAGGUUAGUUUGACUAGAAAUCCCACCACGAGAGAUUUCUUGAAAUAUAUUAAAAAUUAAUUAUUUUGAUCAUCUUGGCUAAACAAAAAAAUGUUGGUAAAAGGAAAACUUAGGUACUAAGACAUCAAGUUGGUAUCAUCAGCAAGAUUUGUAUAAAUUAGAGAGUCCAAUACACAAUCAAAACUGGAAAUUUAAACUUUAGAAUUACAAUCCGUAUUGUUAUAUUUCACAUAUAUGUUAUUCCCAAUUUAUCAAAGGACCAUUCAUAUUUAGAUCAGGAUCGAUGCCCUUCAAUUAUAAUUGUAAUUGUAAUUAGAUCUAUCUAUUCCUUACCACCUAGCUCCGAUUAACAUUUUAUUUUGGGUCAUGAUUCGAGGAGCACGUAACAAAAGACAUUCACAAGCUUCGAAACAUCAAUUACUCUCAUGUUUGUUCUUGAAUUCUACAACUAGAAAUCUGAUCGUAAUAAAUUUUAAGUGCCAAAAGGAGACGUUUAAAGAUAAGAGAAUGAAUAUUAUUAUUUAUCUUUUUUUAAAUAUAUUGAAAACUAAUUAUUUUGACCAUAGAGUUGGUAUUAUCAACAAAAUUUGUAUAAAUUAGAAAGUCUUGUACACAAUAAAUUUAAAAAUAAUUUCAAGGAACAAGAUUUGAGUAGCCUUUGUGGAUUUGAGUAGAAGGUAUAGAUUUAUUAUUUAUGGAAAUAGAACUUAUUGGUGAAAUCGAUAGGAAAUAUACUCAUUGGCCUUAUAGAGAAUCAAAAGAUUUUUUUAAAAAAACUAAAAAACAUAAGUGGUCAACUAAUUAGUUUCAUAAUUUUCUUUCCGUGUGUUGUUCUAUGAUUUGUUAUUAUUAUUGUUAUAGAUGAGAAGGUAUGAUAUAAGAAGACUAUAAAUAUGGUUUAAUUGUUAAUAAUUCAUAAAUACUAGGUUGUAUCUAAUACUAUUUCUUAUUUAUACAUGUCAACGGCUCAUAUUAAUUUUUUCUGUAUCGUUCUAAUUUUAUUAGAUGUUUCUGAGUUAUACUGGAUUUUGACGAAGAUAUUAAGUGAAAGAGUUGGUAAUAUCCUGAUUUAUCUUACGGAUAUGAGUAAGAUUGACUUAUAAAGAUAUGAUUGACUUGCUAUUAUUAAUUCAAACUUAAACACUUUAAUCAAUGAUUUGAGUUUUAAUAGCUUAUUAGUUUGUUAAGAGUAUCGACACGGAGAUACAUGAUUAAUCUAGUCUCACACAAUGAUAGAGUGAUGCAUAGUUAAUCCCUUUAUGCAAGAUUUACUUUUUUAACAUGAGAUGAUCAUUGUUUUCUUUGUUUUUCAUGAGUAAAGUUAGCAAGUUCUCGAAGAUAAAGAAAAAAAAAAUUGACGAGAGGAACAGUAGCAACAGAUUCUGAUCACAACCUAAGAUUCAAAGAUGAUGCAACCUUGCUGUUGCAAUAGUAGAUGAGACACUUGCUUUUGUUCGCAAUCGUCAGUCUUCCUUGGUCUUUCUAUUGAAAAGUACAAGGAAACAACUUGGCUCUGUUAGCUGGGAUUUAAGGUCUUCCUUCCUCUUGUUCAGUUGCAUUAUCAUGUCAAUUUCCAGGAGAGUUUCCCAGCGACUGCUGAUCGCUGUCUUUUUGGUGACCACAAAUCUUGUCUUUCUUUUAUUCGUGUUAAUAAUGGUUGUCUGAUAGCUACAAAUUUCUCCUAUUUAGCAGUUCUCAGGAAAUUCUCAAAACCUUCACAUUCAAGAAGAUGCUGGAGUCUUUAGAUGAAAGCUAUUCCAACUUUGGGACUCGUCAAAAUCAGAAGUCAUAGUUGACUGACUUGGGGAUAGACAACAAUAUGAAAUGAAGAACAAGUGCAUGAUAUUGGCAGACAGCCUAAUAGUUGAAGAUUUCUUGGUCUACUCUUUGAAUCCGUCAGUUGAAUAGUUUCAGACUAAUGGAGGAUGAUCCAAACAGGGCAUGAUAAGAUUUUGUGUAUUGCAAGCUGUCUACCGCAGAUUUCUCAUGAUUAAUCUUAAGAUAAGCUGCGUAUUUUUAUUAUAUGUAAUCUAAGAUAAUUGUGUUGGUGUGAGAUGAUCCACUGUGAUCAUGUAUACAAUUUUCCUCACAAUUGAUGGAAUCGUGGUCAUUGGUAAUAAUUAUUUUCAGGUGUAUUAAAAGGACAAAUCGAUCUGUUCUGUGAAAUUUCUUGCCAGUUUCUAUGCACUACCGGUGCCAGAAAUAUGAAAAUCUAAUUAAAUACCUUGACGAAUUAAGCUGCCAUUAUUGUUGUUUUUCAAGUUUCUUGGACUCAUUUUAGACAUUACAAGUGUAUGACAAUGGAUUUGCUCAGUAGAACAUCAUGGACACCUUCUAUCAUUGUCAACCUAGAAAAUGGNNNNNNNNNNNNNNNNNNNNNNNNNNNNNNNNNNNNNNNNNNNNNNNNNNNNNNNNNNNNNNNNNNNNNNNNNNNNNNNNNNNNNNNNNNNNNNNNNNNNNNNNNNNNNNNNNNNNNNNNNNNNNNNNNNNNNNNNNNNNNNNNNNNNNNNNNNNNNNNNNNNNNNNNNNNNNNNNNNNNNNNNNNNNNNNNNNNNNNNNNNNNNNNNNNNNNNNNNNNNNNNNNNNNNNNNNNNNNNNNNNNNNNNNNNNNNNNNNNNNNNNNNNNNNNNNNNNNNNNNNNNNNNNNNNNNNNNNNNNNNNNNNNNNNNNNNNNNNNNNNNNNNNNNNNNNNNNNNNNNNNNNNNNNNNNNNNNNNNNNNNNNNNNNNNNNNNNNNNNNNNNNNNUUGCAGCAAUCAUACUGGGCAUGUCGUCAAGCUGGACCUCCACAAUCCGCCUCCUUUAUCUUAUGUUGGUGGCGAGGCAUACAACAACUGGACCUUAGGAGGUGAGUUGAGGCCUUCUUUACUUGGUCUGAAGCACCUAAAGUACCUGGACCUAAGCAUGAACAAUUUUGGAGGCAUUAGUAUUCCAGAAUUCAUGGGGUCAUUCCAUAAUCUCCAAUAUCUUAUCCUCUCCAGUGCUGGAUUGGGUGGACUCCUACCUCACCAGCUGGGAAAUCUCUCCAAUCUGCAGUAUCUAGACUUAUACAAUGACAUUUUUGUGGCUCCGGUCCAUGAAUUUAGCAUUGGUGAUGCACUCUGGAUUUCUCACCUUUCUUCUCUAAAGCAUCUCAACCUGAACAGUGUUAACUUUCAAAAUGGUACUCACUGGCUGGAAGCUCUGAACAUGCUUCCUUCUAUUGUGGAGAUAUACUUAUCUGACUGUGCAAUUCAAAGUGUUCCCCUCUCUCUUCCACAUGUGAACUUUACAUCACUGUCUGUUCUUGAUUUGUCGGAUAAUCUCAUUAACUCUACGAUGCCCUCUUGGUUAUCCAACAUAAGUGGCCUUGAGCACCUUGAUCUCAGUUACAACAACCUUCAGGGUAAUAUUCCACCGACCUUUGGUAACUUGGCUUCCCUCGAGGAACUUAAUUUUAAUAACAAUUCUCUUCAAGGAGGAAUACCCACUUCCUUCAAAAAUCUGUGCAGGCUGCAGAAUUUAAUAUUGAGAGCCAUCAAUAUCAGCAAAGAUUUGUUAGAACUCGAUGAAAUUUUCUCUGGUUGCAUCAAGAUGAGCUUAGAGAGCCUGGACUUAUCCGAAACGAAUAUUCGUGGGCAGCUGCCUGAAUGGUUAUUCCAACUCAGGAAGCUUAAAUCACUCCAGUUGGAGCAGAAUCUGAUUUCUGGUCCUAUUCCUGUAUCAAUUGGACAACUAGCAUCACUCCAAGAGCUCUAUCUUGGGGUAAAUCAGUUGAACGAAACAAUACCAGAAAGUGUCUGGUGGCUAUCUCAGCUAGUCGUUUUGGACCUUGGGCACAACAAUUUGGAGGGUGUAAUGUCUGAGGCGCAUUUUGGAAACCUCACAGAAUUGAAAUACUUAAUUUUGUCGUCCAACUCCUUGGCUCUGAAGGUCAAGAGCAAUUGGAUUCCUCCCUUCCUGCUUGAAUUCCUUUGGAUGGGCUCUUGCAAACUGGGUCCUGAGUUCCCUGCAUGGCUCCAGUC
rnacentral:lncRNA from 1 species